rnacentral:rRNA from 1 species
AUUGAACGCUGGCGGCAUGCUUUACACAUGCAAGUCGAACGGCAGCGCGGGCUUCGGCCUGGCGGCGAGUGGCGAACGGGUGAGUAAUGCAUCGGAACGUGCCCAGUAGUGGGGGAUAGCCCGGCGAAAGCCGGAUUAAUACCGCAUACGACCUGAGGGUGAAAGCGGGGGACCGAAAGGCCUCGCGCUAUUGGAGCGGCCGAUGUCGGAUUAGCUAGUUGGUGGGGUAAAGGCUUACCAAGGCGACGAUCCGUAGCUGGUCUGAGAGGACGACCAGCCACCACGGGACUUAGGAACGGCCCCAGACCCCACGGGGGGGCAGAGUGGGGAAAUUUGGGCCAAGGGGGGCAACCUGGACCAAGCCAGGCGGCGGGGGGGAAGAGGGCCUUCGGGUGGUAAACCGUUUUGGUUGGGAAAGAAAUCCUCUGGCUUAUACCCCGGGGGGAUGACGGUACCGGAAGAAUAAGCACCGGCUAACUACGUG